rnacentral:rRNA from 1 species
GAUGAACGCUGGCGGCGUGCCUAACACAUGCAAGUCGAGCGAAGCGCGCCCCGGAAUCCUUCGGGAGGAAGGGUCGCGACUGAGCGGCGGACGGGUGAGUAACGCGUGGGCAACCUGCCCCAUACAGGGGGACAACGGCCGGAAACGGCCGCUAAUACCGCAUGAUUCCUCUUGGCCGCAUGGCCGGGAGGGGAAAGCCGAGACGGUAUGGGAUGGACCCGCGUCUGAUUAGCUGGUUGGCGAGGUAACGGCUCACCAAGGCGACGAUCAGUAGCCGGCCUGAGAGGGCGACCGGCCACAUUGGGACUGAGACACGGCCCAA